rnacentral:rRNA from 1 species
AUUGAACGCUGGCGGCAGGCCUAACACAUGCAAGUCGAACGAGUGGCGGAAGGGUGAGUAAUGUCUGGGAAACUGCCCGAUGGAGGGGGAUAAAUACUGGAAACGGUAGCUAAUACCGCAUACCAUCGGAUGUGCCCAGAUGGGAGUAGAUAUGAGGUGGGGUAACGGCUCACCUAGGCGACGAUCCCUAGCUGGUCUGAGAGGAUGACCAGCCACACUGGAACUGAGACACGGUCCAGACUCGUACGGGAGGCAGCAGUGGGGAAUAUUGCACAAUGGGCGCAAGCCGGAUGCAGCCAUGCCGCGUGUAUGAAGAAGGCCUUCGGGUUGUAAAGUACUUUCAGCGAGGAGGCGUUACUCGCAGAAGAAGCACCGGCUAACUCCGUGCCAGCAGCCGCGGUAAUAC